CCUACGGGGGGCAGCAGUGAGGAAUAUUGGUCAAUGGGCGAGAGCCUGAACCAGCCAAGUCGCGUGAGGGAUGACGGUUCUAUGGAUUGUAAACCUCUUUUGUCGGGGAAUAAAGGCGUCCACGUGUGGACUGAUGUGUGUACCCGAAGAAUAAGCAUCGGCUAACUCCGUGCCAGCAGCCGCGGUAAUACGGAGGAUGCGAGCGUUAUCCGGAUUUAUUGGGUUUAAGGGGUGCGUAGGCGGACAGUCAAGUCAGCGGUAAAAAUGCGGUGCUCAACGCCGUACAGCCGUUGAAACUGGCAGUCUUGAGGAGGCGAGAAGUAUGCGGAAUGCGUGGUGUAGCGGUGAAAUGCAUAGAUAUCACGCAGAACUCCGAUUGCGAAGGCAGCAUACCGGCGCCCUACUGACGCUGAGGCACGAAAGCGUGGGUAUCGAACAGGAUUAGAUACCCCAGUAGUC
rnacentral:rRNA from 1 species